rnacentral:misc_RNA from 1 species
GUAGCUUGGCUUGUUAGUUUCUCUUUUUAAUUGUUUGUUGUUUUAUAUUUACCUUUUGUAAUAUGAAACCUAGAACAAUCUGGAUGAUCAGAUGUUUUCCUUAUGAACGACUAAUUUUUGUUGAUAUUCUAAAUUUUAGAGUUACUUUUAGUUUUACAUAUUCAUCUUUCUUAUGGUAUGUAGAAUGAAUUCUUUAUAUAUUCAUUGCUUAAAACAGUUGCCAUAGCAAUUAGGAUCGAUACUUGGGUUGUCAAUACAGCUGCGCAUGUUUAUUUUCUUACCCACUCUGUUCUCCUGGGCCAACCUAAGGUGCCAGGAAAGUGUAUUUAUUCUGUCAAUCAUUUAUGAAGUUCUUUCUCUUAUUUCUAAUUAUAUAUAAAUACAAAUCUUAGCCAGCUUCAAUUUUAUGAAGAUAAAGCAGUCCAGCCUGAAGCGUCUUAGCUUUCAGG